rnacentral:lncRNA from 1 species
CGGUACCUACAAAUGUCCCAAAUAAACCUAAAAAUCAAUCCCAAGGCCUACUCGGCCAAUUUUCAAAAUCCGGCACGGCGGCUCCGCUGUACUCUGGCAACGAUGCCGCCGCCCGCGGCACCGGUUCACCUCAGGUCGACCAUUUUUGGCCGAAUUCGGUCGAUGUUACAUCAAUUUCUAUGAGCACACACACUAAAGGGCCUCGGUGGGCUGAAAAAUACGAAAAACAAAAACUCACCAGCAGCGGGGCUCUCCGGUGCGGCUACUCCUCCGGCUCACAUUGUGCUUGGGUGUUUCGCUUUGAUC